CUCAUGUGUGGCUUCUUCAGUCCUCUCUUCAUUCACUCAUGUAUUCAUUUAUUCAACGACAUAUUACUAAGGAACCUCCUUAAGCCGGGAUGCUGAACGUGGAAAAAUAGGUGAAAUAUAAUUUUACCCCUGAGAAGCUCAUAGGCUAAAAAAAAUAUUGAUUUGGGAUAAAUGUAUGUUAAGUUGACUCUUGAACAAUGUGGGGGCUUGGGGCACCAACCCCCUGUGCAGUUGAAAAUCGACAUAUAACUUUGACUCGCCAAAAACUUCACUACAAUAGCCUGCUGCCAACCUGAAGUCUUACCAAUAACAUCAACAGUCAAUUAAACAUAUUACGUAUGUUAUAUGUAUUCUAUGCUGUAGUUUUACAAUAAAGUAAGCUGGAGAAAAGAAAAUCUUAAGGAAAUCAUAAGGAAGAGAAAAUAUGUUGGCUAGGUAUGGUGGCUUAUGCCUAUAAUCCCAGCACUUUGGGAUGCCCAAAGUGGGCAGAUUCAUUGAGCCCAGGAGUUCAAGACCAGCCUGGACAACAUGGUGAAACCCUGUAUCUACAAAAAAUACAAAAAUUAGCCAGGCAUGGUGGUGCACACCUGUAAUCCCAGCUACUCAGGAGGCUGAGGUGGGAGGAUCAUGUGAGCCUGGAGAG
rnacentral:lncRNA from 1 species